rnacentral:piRNA from 1 species
UAGUUGAAUAAGUUGUGCUUGACUCCCUC